rnacentral:misc_RNA from 1 species
GAACUGCGAUAAGUAAUGUGAAUUGCAGAAUUCAGUGAAUCAUCGAGUCUUUGAACGCACAUUGCGCCCCCUGGCAUUCCGGGGGGCAUGCCUGUCCGAGCGUCAUUGCUGCCCUUCAAGCCCGGCUUGUUUGUUGGGUCGUCGUCCCCUCCGGGGGACGGGCCCGAAAGGCAGCGGCGGCACCGCGUCCGGUCCUCGAGCGUAUGGGGCUUUGUCACCCGCUCGAUAAGGACCGGCCGGGCGCCAGCCGGCGUCUCCAACCUUUUUUUCUCAGGUUGACCUCGGAUCAGGUAGGGAUACCCGCUGAACUUAAGC